rnacentral:rRNA from 1 species
CCUACGGGAGUCAGCAGUGAGGAAUAUUGGUCAAUGGGCGCUAGCCUGAACCAGCCAAGUAGCGUGAAGGAUGACGGCCCUAUGGGUUGUAAACUUCUUUUGCAUGGGAAUAAAGUGCGGUAUGUAAACUGCUUUCCAUGUACCUUAUGAAUAAGGAUCGGCUAACUCCAUGCCAGCAGCCGCGGUAAUACGGAGGGUCCGAGAGUUAUCCGGAUUUAUUGGGGUUAAAGGGAGGGUAGGCGGGUUGUUAAGUCAGUUGGGAAAGGUUGCGGCUCAACCGUAAAAUUGCAGUUGAUACUGGCAUCCUGGAGUACAGUAGAGGUAGGCGGAAUUCGUGGUGUAGCGGUGAAAUGCUUAGAGAUCGCGAAGAACUCCGAUUGCGAAGGCAGCCUGCUGGACUGUAACUGACGCUGAUGCUCGAAAGUGUGGGUAUCAAACAGGAUUAGAUACCCGAGUAGUC